GGCGGAGGGUGCAAGCGUUGUUCGGAAUUACUGGGCGUAAAGGGCGCGUAGGCGGUCUGUUAAGUUCGGUGUGAAAGCCCCCGGCUCACCUGGGGAACUGCGCCGGAAACCGACAGACUCGAGUACCGGAGAGGAGGGUGGAAUUCCUGGUGUAGCGGUGAAAUGCGUAGAUAUCCGGAGGAACACCGGUGGCGAAGGCGGCUUCCUGGACCGACACUGACGCUGAGGCGCGAAAGCUAGGGGAGCGAAUGGG
rnacentral:rRNA from 1 species